rnacentral:rRNA from 1 species
UACGGGAGGCAGCAGUGGGGAAUAUUGCACAAUGGGUGCAAGCCUGAUGCAGCCAUGCCGCGUGUAUGAAGAAGGCCUUCGGGUUGUAAAGUACUUUCAGUCGUGAGGAAGGUGUUAAGGUUAAUAACCUUAGCAAUUGACGUUAGCGACAGAAGAAGCACCGGCUAACUCCGUGCCAGCAGCCGCGGUAAUACGGAGGGUGCGAGCGUUAAUCGGAAUUACUGGGCGUAAAGGGCACGCAGGCGGUUAAUAAGUUGGAUGUGAAGUCCCCGGGCUUAACCUGGGAAUGGCAUUCAAGACUGGUUAGCUAGAGUCUUGUAGAGGGGGUAGAAUUCCAUGUGUAGCGGUGAAAUGCGUAGAGAUGUGGAGGAAUACCGGUGGCGAAGGCGGCCCCUGGGACAAAGACUGACGCUCAUGUGCGAAAGCGUGGGGAGCAAACAGGGAUUAGAUACC